CUAGUACCUUGGCAGGUCCUCCCCCAGGCAGCGGGGCCAGGAUUUGGUAGCUGGUGCUGAAAGAAAACCCUUGAUUGCAUCCUUGACCUGCGACUGUGCUCGUGGCAGCUGUCACUCAGUGGCAGAGAG